GCGGGCAGCGGGGGCUGAGUCUGGAGGAGCGGGAGGAAAUAACGCGUGUUGGUACUGACGGUGUUUUGCCAUAGUUGAGUUCUUGUUUUUGAUGAGCAACAGCUGGGCGAACUGGGUCUGUUCAGAGGAGAGACGACUAAAAGGGGGCUUCAUCAAUGUCUAUGAGUAUCUGGCGGGACCGUGUCAAGAGUUUGGAUCCGGGCUCUGCUUGAGGGUGCCCAGCAAUAGGACAAGAGGCAACAGAAACUUAUGCGCAGGAAGUUCCACCUGAAUAUAAGGACCAACCUUUUUACUGUGCAGGUUAUGGCGCAGUGGAAUAGAUGUUCCAGAGAGGCUGUGGCGUCUCCCUCACUGGAAAUAUUCAAGAACCGACUGGACACGUUCGAGUGCCAUGUGCAUUAGGAUAGCCCUGCUUGGGCAGGGGGGCUGGACCAGGUGAUCCACUCUGGUCCUUUCCAACCUGAACCAUUCCGCUGUAUCACACUGUAGUUGUAUCAAUUUUACCUACACCACGUAGUGGAGCUGUGUACAAACACAGGCACUCACGUACAGGCUCCUUGCUAAGAAAAACAGAAGUAUGGGUGAUAUUUUAAAACCUGCUUUGUUAUUUUUCAGAAGAAAGUGUAAAACGCAGAGCAGUUUUUUUUUCCCAUGUGUUUGCCGGCAAAUAAAAUAGUAAUGGCUAAGCAGAGGUUUCACUGAAGAUUCAAAAAAGUCAUCCACAUCAGUGUGUAUGGAUGCAGCUAAAUAUUUAUAUAUGCGUGUACCUUAAAGUAUUAGCUUUAGUCAUAUUUGGGUGGAUUUCACUGGUUUUCAGUAGGUGUCACUAAAGCUCCAAAAGAACCCAAAUUUUCACUCUUCUGGCUGUUUUCUGAAGUCUGGAAUCUUUACCAAGUUUCAUCACACCACUCUUGCAGAAGUGCACAGUCUAGUCUGAUCCACUCCAUCAAACUGAAAUAACUCCUCGAAGGAUUUAGAUGACCCUUGCAUAUAUCUGUGCAAAGGCUGGACUUUCCUCUUUCUUGCAAAAAGUGCCCGGUGGGUGUUUUGCUGCUGUCAGCGGGUGUGCUACACACCUCAUGGCACAAGGACAUCAGCAAUGACCCCUCCGGGACUGCAGGCUGCCAAUGGAUUUUUCAUGACUGCACCCAAGAGCAACAAGUCCCUCCCUACCGUAUGUCUGUACUGCCAACCAAGUGACAGCUGGAAUAGCAGAACUGGAUUUUCACAAGGUGAAUGUGGCCACCCUAGAGCCUAUUCAGCAAGUAAGAAUCUUCUGGCUGUACUGGACCCUCGGAACACCCUCCUGGAGCUUAGCAACCCGCACUGGUGUGGAUGUGGGAUCAAGCCUGCCUUACUGGAGUCUCGUUCCACAGCGUCUGUGUAGACUUGCUUGGAAGAGGCAGGUGUGCAAUGGUUCCUACAGCUGAACCUACCCUGGUGUACUGCAGCUCUGCCAGAAGGUACAGCUGGGUCCAAAGCACGGCACACAGAUGUUGCCAUGAUUUACUUGUUUGAGCUUUUGUUCCACAGAACGCCAGGGGAAGUGACACAAACUUAGCAGCUUUAUUAGCUCCUGUGUAUACAACAGUGUAUGUGCACUGCAGUCUUCUUGUGCCUCCCCCAGAUUUGCAGUUGUAAAUGGAAUUCCAUUUAUUUUUAAGGAAAUCUGCCCUCCCCCCACAAAACUUAAGAGCUAUUUAAACAGUUGCAGGCAAUUAAGUAUGUGCCAUGUCCAGACCCUCCCCACGCUGCUGAUACAGUCAGAUGCCCGUUCACACAAUUUUUGUUUCAAAUCACACCAGCUGAAAUAAUAAUAAUCCAAAACACAGUAUUUCUUUAAUUCCAAAAUUUGUACAAGUUUACAAAUCAAUAUACCACCACACAAAGUAGUGAAAGGAAGAGAUGUUAAGCAACGUUUUAACGUUUUACUAUAUCAUAACAAUGUUCAAAUAUUGUUAAAUUUGACAUAGUAUUGCGAGAUUAUUUUUUUAAUAUAAAGAAUUUAUGCUUGAACAAGAAGAUACAGAUAAUGCCAUUGCUUUCUUUGUUUCUAUCCAAUGCAGUAUGCAGCUUCUAGAAAAUAUUGAUGAAAUGCUGUAUCUAGUUCAUAUGAGCUUUAUUUCCAUUAAAAUCUUGAAACAAAAUGGGAACACAAAGUGAAACAAAACCUUAUUAAUUAUUAAAGUUAAUAAAUAGAAACCUGUUUGAACAUUACAGCACAUAUAUAUUAUUUUCACUCCAUUUCUCCCUUUCUCUCUAUAGAUACAGUUUCCUAAGUUUUGGUGGUGGUUUUUUCAGAUUUCUGUUAAAUAGAAGUUUUAAGCUAUUCUGGGGACUUGCUUUUUUUUCUUUUUUUUUUUUUUUUUUUUUUUUAAUUUGACCUUCAAAAUAUUUUUGUAUUAACCUUAUAAAAUUUUUCAGAAUAUAUUUUUUACUUUUCAUCAGACUCUAUGUUCCAUCAGUGAGCAUUGCACUUAUCUUGGUAUAAUUAGAAUACAGAUAGGAACAAUAAUGAAACUAAACGUGGAAGGUCUUAAAGGCAGGAGGCAAGUUCAUCCAUUUUUUUUUUUCACCCUGAGUAUGUUUUUAGUUUAGUUUACAGCAAUGGCACAGGGCUCCUGAAGAUCAUUGAAACCAGGGACAUGAAAAGUGUUAAACACACGGUUCAUGUGUACCUGACAGUCUCAUGCAAAUGUAGGCUUUUAGCUUGGUUUGCUUUCAUUAUUUUCAUUGAUCAUUCAUUCGUCAAAAAACAUUUCAUUGUUUUUAUCAUUAAAGCAUUAACAGACAUUGAGACACGGGCCAAUAUUCUGCUCUCUGCUUAGGAUGUCAGCAGUGCUCACACAGGCCUGUUCUGCCAGGUACCCAGGUGACAGUGUGGCUCUCCCUACCCUCACUCCAAGUCUUGCCAGCUGCAGACAGUCAGGGAGUUUUGGUUGAUUCCCAGGCUGCCAGACUGGAUUAGAUGUUUUUAGUCUGUUGCUGGCUGGAUCUUCUUGCACUUUUUGAUCAUACAAAUUCAGGGCUCAGACUGAGUCUAUAGUCAGGUUAAGCAACUGUUCAUUUGAAACAAAUUCUCUCAUGUACUAUAUUAGCUGUAGUAUUAUUAGUUACACGUCUGAGUUUUCUCUGCAGGAAAUCAAGCACUAAUUUCAGCUGGAAGGAGGGGUCUAAUUUCUGUAAUAUCAGGGAUAUUUCAUCCCUUUGUUUCACAGCUUUCAUUUGAUUUUCAAGUUAAAAAAUGGGUGCUCAUCUGAUAUGGUUUUUCCAUGUCAACACUGAAGUUGUGGUGCUUCUGUAAGACAUGCUCAGGGUGGCCAAAGCAGAUGUGGGGCUGUCCUGCCCCACACCACAUCAGAAGUUCAUAAAGUCCACCACAGCAAGGGACGUGCACAACUGUAGGUAAAUGAUAAACCCAACAAAUAAAUGCAGUAUUGUAGAACUACAAAUGGCCAUUAAUACUUACAGUGAAUUUGAAGAGAUGUUGCUUCUGGUCCUACCAUGUUUCAAAUCAUCAGCUGAAAUGGUAUUUAGCUUAAAUAAUCAUUAGCAUUUAGUUAAAUUUUUUUUUUUUUUUGUACUUGUUGAGUCAAUAUAUAUAGUGCAAUUAAAAAAAAUACAAAUAAGACUGUGUUUGAGUUAUAAAGACUAAUAUAUACUACCCCAAAAAAGAGACAGAUAAGACACUCUAGAACCAUUUCAAUUUUUUAUGUGGAAAAGAAAUUAGGAUUUGAUUAAGCAUCCAUUCUUUUGUGCCCACAGCAGCAUGCUGUGAUGUACGAUUAUACUGAUAAAUAUUAUAAAUGAGAUAAUUUCAGAAACCACUACUUCAAGCUGCUCAUUUUCUCUUUCUGUGGAUGUAGACAUACCUGAUUCUGUGGAACAUAGGUAUCGUGUGAGGUUUGUCAUAUAUUGUGGAUGACAUUUAAAUGAUUUGUCCAAUUUGAUAAAAAUUACCAUACUGAUCCCUCUUAGCCAAUUGGACUGUACUACACUUUGGAUGAAAAGUGCUAUUUUUUCUUUGCCUGUUUAACAUCUUUUUAUUUUUAACUCUAGGAUUACUCACUCAUGAAUUUCUCAGGGCUCAUCCCAAUUUUUCCCUUCUAGCAGGCAUGCAGCACCAUAACUGGUAUAUAGUGUAAUAAUUCCAAUGGGUUGUUGAUGUAACUGGAAAACAUUUGAAAUUAUCAAUACAGAGGACUAGGAGAGGCAGCAGAAAUUGACUUCAGGCUUCUCAAAGCAAACUUGCUUCACUGCACAUGGUGACAUACCAAAUACUCGUUAUUUUUUAUUUCAUGGACAACAUUUUUCAGCUAUUGUUUUUCUGUGAUAUUUAUAUAUAUAUAUAAAAAUAGUAUAUAAAAUUCUAUAGCUCUGUGGGGAUACAAUACACUGGAUAGUUUGUAGUUCUAAUUCUGCAAGUAUCUACAUAAGAUUUCUACAUAAGUUCCAAUAAAGGCAACUCUUUUUGUCCAGUUAUGUAAAUGUGUUUAAUUAGUUAGCUGAACUGUGGGCCAAACAAUGCAUCUUGUUAUUACCAAAACAGUAAGAAACUAAAAAUUAGCUCAGCAUCUCUACCAAGGCUAGUGUUCUGCAUCUAGCAAUGGCUUCGAGGGAAUACUUUUAAAAAAUCACCCUCCAACCCCAGAAGGAGGAUGGGGAAAGCCUAAGUGAUACCUCACCUAUACAUGUUAUGACAUAACUUCAGCUUGAAGAAGCUGAAGCCAGAAGUUGUACCUUCAUUUUUGUGUUAUUACUCUUAAAACAAAGUUGGCACAUGACUUUGCAUCCAUGGUCCAGGCCUAGUAUUGGGGAAUUUCUUCUUGCAAAGUCAAUUUUUUCACUUCAUCCUAAGUUUAACAAGUUUUACUUUGCUUGUGUAACCUGUGUGUACCUUGGCAUGGUGGUGGAGCUCCUGUCUUACAUAAAAUAUUUAUAGUCUCACCUUACCUUUGUCCGAGUUAUUCUGCCUGUGCAACAGCUCUCUUUCUGCCUUCAGUAUCUUGGCUGCUUUCAAAUGUUUCAAUGUGAUUAAGGCAACACUAAGAUCUAUUUAUUUGCUUCACUCAUUUCCUUUGAAGUGAAAUACUGUGUUUUAUACUUCAAAGUCAACAUAGUAGACCUUUAUAUGAUUUUGGACACACAUUCCAAAAUUUGGCAACAUCAGCAAAAAAAAGUUUAAGCAGAACUAUUCUAGCGUUACUUUUAAGUUUACCCUUCAAAUUCUAAAAAUAAAAAUUAGCAUUUUACCAGAAUUGCUGACAAACCUUAGCUCUAAUGCCCUGCUUAUCCCUGUAUGAUUUAGUGCCAAAGAAUACAUUUUCACUGCUUCCUUGAUGUCAAAGUGGUGUUUCUAUAUUUAUAAUAUGAUGGGCUUUCCAGAAGCUUGUUUUCUGCAAAUGGAAUCCUAAUGGCUCUUAUUGAUUCCAUUAAAAAAGGAAGGUGCUGCUUCCUUUUCUUUGCUGCAAGCAUGUAGAUGGCUUUUUAAAUUCAGUUAUUGAUAUUCUAUGGCUUGUACAUCAUUAGAUUUUUACCAAUGUAAAGUGUAAUGGAUCCUAACAGUCAUUUAAAUCUUACCUUUCUAGAAAAGGUUUGCCAGUGUCUUUAAAAAUAAUAGAGUGACAGAGAGCGAUGGCUGUGGGAAAACACUCUCCUGUUACUAGAGGUGCUCUUCAUUAAAAUAAUCUACCUCAUUUAUGCAAACCUGGUCUUGUUGGAAAUAGCUCUGAAGAGGGAUAUCUAAUUUUAGCCACAAAACUGCCUUCCUGCCUUUAGGCUGACAUCUCUAACAACAACCUUCAAUUUUAUAAACUAAACACAUUCCGCAAGAAUCUAUCACAGGUUUUGAGGUAAAAAUCACAUCUACACAGACCUUUUAUUGCCAGAAAAAGAAAUACUUACACUUCAUAAUUAAAAACUGAACAGGACACAUAAAAGACAAAAAUAAAUUGUAAUAUGUACACACAUUAGAAAGGAUAAAUAGCAAAUAUAUUGUAAUACUGCAUUAAAUGUAUGCAUAUGUGAAUUCUGGACCCCCCCCCCAAUGUUGUGUACACUAAUUCAAAGGAUAAAUAAGUGCUAAUAUAAGACAGAGAAUUUCUUAGUGUAAACAACACCACAGGCUUUUUAAUAGGCCUUUGGGCCAACUUAGAAAAACCAUGUAUUGCCUUUCACACUCCAUACCACUUAAUUUUCAUAGUACUGUAUUCACAUGUACAAGAUAGUAUAAAAAAUUACGAAUCUAAGAAGCAUUCUCCACACUCAACAUAAACAGGCUGGAGACACUCCAAGGAUUUUUCUUUCACUUUUAAAGGACCACUAGCUGAAGACAUACUGAUUCACCUGGGAGUUACUUCUCAAAGCAGUGCAAGAGUCCUUAAAUGUAAAAAGUUACAUUAGUAAUCACUGCUCAGGCCUAUCAAUAAAGACUUCUGUGCCUAAUUUAAAUUCUGACUUUGGAUUCACACUAGCAUGAUGUCAAAGUUGUCACCACUGCCUGCCUUGGAUGACAAAGAUAAUGAUCCCUCUGGUUUGAAUGGCAAGUAACAGACAGCAAGGAGUGUUUCUAAACACAAAGCAUUUCAUUGCAUUCAUAGUGUCACAUUAUUUGUCUUUCAAAUCUUGUUUAUGUAUUUCUGAGGAUCCAGAGUAUGUCAACAUUAAAAAACAAAAAAAUAUAUUACUUAUUCUGUAUGAAUGUUCCAUGUGUUUUCCUGAAGCUUGUGCACUGGGAUUUAAAAAAAGACAGUUGAGUUAUACUAGGAGUAAUUUCUGGCAACUGUAUUUACUGGCACCGAAGAAAAGGAUAGUUCUUCCUAAAGUACUGAUGACACGAGGACUUAUGGCUUUCUAUCGUUUUAAGACAGGCUGCAGCCACUA